rnacentral:rRNA from 1 species
GAAUUACUGGGCGUAAAGGGCACGCAGGCGGUCUGGAAAGCGGUGAGUGCAAUCUCGAGGCUCAACCUCGAAACUGCUUGCCGAACUAUCAGACUAGAGCAUGGGAGAGGACAGUGGAAUUCCCGGUGUAGCGGUGGAACGCGUAAAUUCCGGCGGGAACACCAAUGGCGAAGGUCUGCUUUCUGGAACAUUGCCGACCUUGAGGUGCGAAAGCCAGGGACCGAACGGGAUUAGGAUACCCCGGUAGUCCUGCCUGUAAACGAUGCUCAUUAGGUGUUACCGGCAAUAACGCCCGUUAGUGCUGUUCUGCUAACCGCGUUAAGUGAGCCGCCUGGGGAGUACGGCCGCAAGGCUGAAACUCAAAGGAAUUGACGGGGGCCCGCACAAGCGGUGGAGCAUGUGGGUCAAUUGGAUGCUACGCCAAGAACCUUACCAGGGCUCGACAUGUUGGGGCCCGCGUGAGAGAUCACGUUUUCUCCGCAAGGAGACCCCAUCACAGGUGGUGCAUGGCUGUCGUCAGCUCGUGUCGUGAGAUGUUGGGUUAAGUCCCGCAACGAGCGCAACCCUCACCGGAUGUUGCCAUCGGUUCGGCCGGGAACUCUUCCGGAACUGCCUGAGUAAUCAGGAGGAAGGCGAGGAUGACGUCAAGUCCGCAUGCCCCUUAUGUCCUGGGCUGCACACGUGCUACAAUGGCUGGUACAAAGGGUAGCCAAACCGCGAGGUGGAGCUAAUCCCCUAAAACCAGUCUCAGUUCGGAUUGAAGUCUGCAACUCGACCUCAUGAAGUUGGAUUCGCUAGU